rnacentral:tRNA from 2 species
GAUAGUCUAGUUUAAGUAAGAACAUCUGUUUGUCAGGCAGAAAGCCCACUUGGUGUGGGAUUAUCU